rnacentral:misc_RNA from 1 species
GCCGCUUCUGCUUACCAGAUCGAAGGUGCAGCAAACAUAUCAGGCAAAGGACCUAGUGUUUGGGACACAUUUACUCAUGAGUAUCCAGGUUACCUUUGUGUGUGUGUGUGUGUGUUUUAUAUUAUCUGUAGGCUUAUGCCAUAUGCUGCCCAGUGAUUCUACCUGAGCAAUAUUUUUGCCCAAGUGUUCUUUGAGUGUGUUAUUAUUAACAGAUAUCAGUUUCACAUAUCAGACUAUUUAAAUCAUGCUCAUAAAUAAAUGUUUCACUUGUUUCUUUCUCUUAAAUUUCACAGAUAUUACCAGAAGAAGUUGAGA